UACGAAGGGUGCAAACGUUGCUCGGAAUUAUUGGGCGUAAAGCGCACGUAGGCGGCUUAGCAAGUCGGAAGUGAAAGCCCUUGGCUCAACCAAGGAAGUGCUUUCGAAACUGCUGAGCUUGAGUACUUAAGAGGAUCGCGGAAUUCCCGGUGUAGAGGUGAAAUUCGUAGAUAUCGGGAGGAACACCAGUGGCGAAGGCGAUCAUCUGGGGUUGUUCUGACACUGAGGAGCGAAAGCUAGGGGAGCAAACGGG
rnacentral:rRNA from 1 species